CACGUAGGGCGCAAGCGUUUGUCCGGAAUUAUUGGGCGUAAAGAGCUCGUAGGUGGUUUGCUGCGUCCGCUGUGAAAACCCAAGGCUUAACCUUGGGCUUGCAGUGGAUACGGGCAGACUAGAGGUAGGUAGGGGAGAAUGGAAUUCCCGGUGUAGCGGUGAAAUGCGCAGAUAUCGGGAGGAACACCGGUGGCGAAGGCGGUUCUCUGGGCCUUACCUGACACUGAGGAGCGAAAGCGUGGGGAGCGAACAGG
rnacentral:rRNA from 1 species